rnacentral:rRNA from 1 species
GAUGAACGCUGGCGGCGUGCCUAAUACAUGCAAGUCGAGCGGUCAGGCUCCUUCGGGAGUACACGAGCGGCGGACGGGUGAGUAAUACGUAGGAACGUACCCCAAAGUGAGGAACAACCAGCCGAAAGGUUGGCUAAUACCGCAUAUGCUCUACGGAGUAAAGCAGCAAUGCGCUUUGGGAACGGCCUGCGUCCGAUUAGCUAGUUGGUAAGGUAAAGGCUUACCAAGGCGACGAUCGGUAGCUGUUCUGAGAGGAUGAUCAGCCACACUGGAACUGAGACACGGUCCAGACUCCUACGGGAGGCAGCAGUAGGGAAUUUUCCACAAUGGGCGAAAGCCUGAUGGAGCAACGCCGCGUGCAGGAUGAAGGCCUUAGGGUUGUAAACUGCUUUUAUCUGUGACGAUUAUGACAGUAGCAGAUGAAUAAGGAUCGGCUAACUCCGUGCCAGCAGCCGCGGUAA